rnacentral:lncRNA from 1 species
AAAACCAAAAACAACAUUGUUUAUACUUUACAAACAAACGAUGUAUUAAUAACUUUAUUGGAGAUUUUUACUAAUAUACUAAUUUCUAUAAAUAGCACAUUUAUAUCAGCUACCUUUGCACUUAUUGAAAUGCAGUUCAAUAGUCAUUUCUUUUCAUAUUAGAAAGACUUUAAUUAAGCAAUAUGAGUGCUAUUCAUGAUUGGAAUAAAAAUUAUUUAAU